UGUCUGCCAACUCCAACUCCACGUUGAUAAUGGGCCCUGUGCUUUCUUGAUUAACCACUGGAGUAGAUCUCAGCGAAAGGAGCAGGAAACAGGGCAUGUUGUCUUCCUGCCGAUUGUAGCGUGUGGAGUAAAAGGAGUGCGGGAGCAAGGUUGUUGGCUCAAAUCCCAGAAUCGGCAAUAUGGUUUCACCAUCGGGCCCUUGAGCAUCUCCCCCAGUUGCUCCAGGGAUUGGCUGAAAAUGGCGCAUGUUGCUUCAGAUAAAAGUGUCUGGAAUCGCUAACAGUGAUGUUCCACGUGGUCCAGUCAUCGACAGCCAAUCAGCACAGUGCCCUGAAGCAUACACCAUCCUCUUUUACGAUGAAAUGUAAACUUCAAAAAGCAUUAAUUGACAUAAGUAAAUAGAACAUGUCAUUUAAACAAAAACUAAACUAAACAACUCCAGGUUCUCAGGCAAUCUGAGCCUCCUGGUUU